CCUGGCUUAGGAUGAACGCUAGCGGCAGGCUUAACACAUGCAAGUCAGGGGCAGCAUAGUAUGUAGCAAUACAUAUUGAUGGCGACCGGCGGAUGGGUGCGUAACGCGUAUGCAACCUACCUUUACAGGAGGAUAACCUUUCGAAAGGGAGACUAAUACUCCAUAGUAUUAUUUAGAGGCAUCUUUAGAUAAUUAAAUAUUUAUAGGUAAAAGCUGGGCAUGCGUAUGAUUAGUUAGUUGGUAAGGUAACGGCUUACCAAGGCGAUGAUCAUUAGGGGUUCUGAGAGGAAGGUCCCCCCACACUGGUACUGAGACACGGACCAGACUCCUACGGGAGGCAGCAGUGAGGAAUAUUGGUCAAUGGGCGGAAGCCUGAACCAGCCAUGCCGCGUGCAGGAAGACGGCCCUUAUGGGUUGUAAACUGCUUUUAUGUGAGGAUAAUAUUCAUCUUGCGAGGUGGAAUGAAGGUAUCACAUGAAUAAGGAUCGGCUAACUCCGUGCCAGCCGCCGC
rnacentral:rRNA from 1 species